rnacentral:rRNA from 1 species
UACGAAGGGGGCUAGCGUUGCUCGGAAUUACUGGGCGUAAAGCGCACGUAGGCGGCUUUCUAAGUCGGGGGUGAAAUCCUGGAGCUCAACUCCAGAACUGCCUUCGAUACUGGAGAGCUUGAGUCCGGGAGGAGGUGAGUGGAACUGCGAGUGUAGAGGUGAAAUUCGUAGAUAUUCGCAAGAACACCAGUGGCGAAGGCGGCUCACUGGCCCGGUACUGACGCUGAGGUGCGAAAGGCGUGGGGAGCAAACAGG